AGAGUUUGAUCCUGGCUCAGGACGAACGCUGGCGGCGUGCUUAACACAUGCAAGUCGUACGAGAAGCCCCGCUUCGGCGGGGGGGACAGUGGCGAACGGGUGAGUAACACGUAGGUAAUCUGCCCUCGAGUGGGGGAUAAUUCCGGGAAACUGGUUGUAAUACCGCAUAAUAUCCCGACCUGGCAUCUGGUUGGGAUCAAAGGUUUCGACCGCUUGAGGAUGAGCCUACGUCCCAUUAGCUAGUUGGUGAGGUAACGGCUCACCAAGGCGACGAUGGGUAGCUGGUCUGAGAGGACGAUCAGCCACACUGGGACUGAGAUACGGCCCAGACUCCUACGGGAGGCAGCAGUGAGGAAUAUUGCGCAAUGGACGAAAGUCUGACGCAGCAACGCCGCGUGGGCGAUGAAGCUCUUAUGAGUGUAAAGCCCUGUUAGGAGGGACGAACAAUCUCGAUUCGUCGGGACCUGACG
rnacentral:rRNA from 1 species